AUCUAUGGCCAUACCACCAUGAAUGUGCCUGAUCUCGUCUGAUCUUGGAAGCUAAGCAGGGUCGGGCCUGGUUAGUACUUGGAUGGGAGAAACUACUGAAUUCCUCCACC
rnacentral:rRNA from 1 species